rnacentral:rRNA from 1 species
AUUGAACGCUGGCGGUAGGCUUAACACAUGCAAGUCGAGCGGAGCGAGGGUGCUUGCACCUUAGCUUAGCGGCGGACGGGUGAGUAAUGCUUAGGAAUCUGCCUAUUAGUGGGGGACAACAUUCCGAAAGGAAUGCUAAUACCGCAUACGCCCUACGGGGGAAAGCAGGGGAUCUUCGGACCUUGCGCUAAUAGAUGAGCCUAAGUCGGAUUAGCUAGUUGGUGGGGUAAAGGCCUACCAAGGCGACGAUCUGUAGCGGGUCUGAGAGGAUGAUCCGCCACACUGGGACUGAGACACGGCCCAGACUCCUACGGGAGGCAGCAGUGGGGAAUAUUGGACAAUGGGCGGAAGCCUGAUCCAGCCAUGCCGCGUGUGUGAAGAAGGCCUUUUGGUUGUAAAGCACUUUAAGCGAGGAGGAGGCUACUAGUAUUAAUACUACUGGAUAGUGGACGUUACUCGCAGAAUAAGCACCGGCUAACUCUGUGCCAGCAGCCGCAGUAAUAC